rnacentral:lncRNA from 1 species
UUCAAAGCAUUUGAGCCUAUUUAAGUGAGAUUUUUGCUAUAUUUGAAAGCUUUUUUUUUAAUAUAAAAAUUAACAUUUUUGCUAUGUUCGAAUUUUCUCUUCAAUUUUUGAAUUGGCAGAGAAGAGAGAGAGGGUUUCUGGCUGGGUCUCGGGCGGGGCUGGAGGUGUUCUGGGUAGAGAGAAAAACAAAGGGUGAGAGAGAGGAAGAGAGGGAGAGGACAAGGACAGUAAGGCAGCCGCCGCUUGCAUCCCUAAGGACUCUGCUUCCACUCCUAAUAAGGAGAGCCCAAGAAGAGGACUUGCAAUGGCUACAAGUGAACCUAGAUCGAGUUCUCGAAAACUGGGCUUGUAGACUUUGCAACUGAGGGAGUUACAGAAGCGAUCGUUCAGCGAGUCGAGGCCUAGCUCCGAAAUGGGCUUCCCAAAAUGCGUCAUUCAUGGAGUUGAGCUAAGUCGAAGCCUCUCUCUCCCUUUGUAAAUUUCAAUCAUUUUUUCUUUUAUGGGUCCUCUUCCUCAGCAAUUUAUGCGAGUGAAGUUGCUCCAAGAACAACAACAAUGGUUGCGCUAGAUUUGGGGAAGAAGAUGAGUUGGAGAUGGAUUUUUAUUUAUUUUUUAAGUUUUUUUUUCAUUUAUUAAAUAAUGUUAUUUUAUUUAUUUAGUUUGGGGCCCACUUGGGCCACUUUAUACUAAACUUGUGAGUUGUACCACCACAUCAGCUUUUAACGGUGGUUCUAACAGAAUAACUAACGGACGUAUUAAAUUGGUAUGAAAAUAAAUAUUAUGUGUGUGACUAAGACGAAAAAAUUUGAUGUGUCGAACUCUAAACUUCGGUAAACUUUACCAUGGUAAAGUGAAAAUUACCCUAUUUAAUAACACUUAAGUUGUCUCAUUUCUGUCAAAUAAAAAUUAUUUUGUCUUUGAUGUAAUUGACUUGAUCUGGGACAACUAUAAGGGUUUUAGACAAGUUAUCUUUGCAAUUUAUUCUCUUCAGAUUGUUUUAGUUCUUCAACUGGCUC